rnacentral:tRNA from 1 species
GCCGCUUUAGCUCAGCUGGUAGAGCAGCGCUUUCGUAAAGCGCGGGUCGUGGGUUCGAAUCCCACAAGCGGCU